rnacentral:misc_RNA from 1 species
GAUAACAUCGAUGGUUCCAUCGAUGGUUUAGAAGUACUAGUAAACAUCGAUGUUUCCGAAGCAUCGAUGUUGUUUUUGCAUUUCUAUGAUACAGUGAUUAUUAAAUAUAUAGAAAGUCGUUAGUUGUGUUUGUUUGCAAAUUAUCCAGUAACUUGCCAACAACUCUCCAGUAACUUUAUUUCUAAAAAUUGGCUCUCAUAUAAAAAAUUGCCAAAAAGAAACUUACUGGAUUUGACUGGAAAUGAGUAAACAAACACAACUAUUGAAAUAAGGAACUUCUGAAUGUACCUGGAGUUCUUGCUGCUUGCCGAAAACCGAUCAACGAAGGAAAUCCAUCCAUUAAAAUUGUAUCCUUCUAAAGGAAGGGUGAAGUGAAUGAAAUUAAUUCCAAACUUAAUACGCUAACACCAUGCCAUUCAGCCGUAAAGGCAAGGCUAAUGAUCGACGAGCGCUGAUCGAAAAUGACCAGAUUCUAUACCGGGGAAAUGCUAUUGACGACGGUGAUUCCGUAAAUGAUAGCUUUAACCUGAGCUCCGACUAUAGCGAUGAA